UGGGGGAUAUUGCACAAUGGGCGAAAGCCUGAUGCAGCGACGCCGCGUGGGGGAUGAAGGCCUUCGGGUUGUAAACUUCUUUUGCUCUGAACAAGGCAUGCCUUUGGGGUGUGUUGAGUGUAGGGGUUGAUUAGCGCCGGCUAACUACGUGCCAGCAGCCGCGGUAAUACGUAGGGCGCGAGCGUUGUCCGGACUUAUUGGGCGUAAAGGGCUUGUAGGUGGCUGGUUGCGUCUGUCGUGAAAGCUCAUGGCUUAACUGUGGGUUUGCGGUGGGUACGGGCUGGCUUGAGUGCAGUAGGGGAGGCUGGAAUUCCUGGUGUAGCGGUGGAAUGCGCAGAUAUCAGGAGGAAUACCGGUGGCGAAGGCGGGUCUCUGGGCUGUUACUGACGCUGAGGAGCGAAAGCGUGGGGAGCGAACAGG
rnacentral:rRNA from 1 species